GACGAACCGUGCGAACGUUGUUCGGAAUCACUGGGCAUAAAGCGCACGUAGGCGGCGGCGUAAGUUGGAUGUGAAAUCCCCCGGCCCAACCGGGGAACUGCGUCCAGUACUGCGUUGCUUGAGGAUCCAAGGGGUGCAUGGAAUUCCCGGUGGAGCGGUGAAAUGCGUUGAUAUCGGGAGGAACUCCGGCGGCGAAAGCGGUGCACUGGUGGAUUACUGACGCUGAGGUGCGAAAGCCAGGGGAGCAAACGGG
rnacentral:rRNA from 1 species